UUAAAUUUUUUUUUUUAAACCAGCUUUUAUUUGGAAUGGUACAGAGAAGAUAUUGGCCCUGUGCAAGGAUGACACACAAAUUUGGGAAGUGUUCCAUAUUUUU
rnacentral:snRNA from 1 species